UUAAGCGACUAAGCGUACACGGUGGAUGCCCUGGCAGUCAGAGGCGAUGAAGGACGUGCUAAUCUGCGAUAAGCGUCGGUAAGGUGAUAUGAACCGUUAUAACCGGCGAUUUCCGAAUGGGGAAACCCAGUGUGAUUCGACACACUAUCAUUAACUGAAUCCAUAGGUUAAUGAGGCGAACCGGGGGAACUGAAACAUCUAAGUACCCCGAGGAAAAGAAAUCAACCGAGAUUCCCCCAGUAGCGGCGAGCGAACGGGGAGCAGCCCAGAGCCUGAAUCAGUGUGUGUGUUAGUGGAAGCGUCUGGAAAGGCGCGCGAUACAGGGUGACAGCCCCGUACACAAAAAUACACAUACUGUGAGCUCGAUGAGUAGGGCGGGACACGUGGUAUCCUGUCUGAAUAUGGGGGGACCAUCCUCCAAGGCUAAAUACUCCUGACUGACCGAUAGUGAACCAGUACCGUGAGGGAAAGGCGAAAAGAACCCCGGCGAGGGGAGUGAAAAAGAACCUGAAACCGUGUACGUACAAGCAGUGGGAGCACGCUUAGGCGUGUGACUGCGUACCUUUUGUAUAAUGGGUCAGCGACUUAUAUUCUGUAGCAAGGUUAACCGAAUAGGGGAGCCGAAGGGAAACCGAGUCUUAACUGGGCGUUAAGUUGCAGGGUAUAGACCCGAAACCCGGUGAUCUAGCCAUGGGCAGGUUGAAGGUUGGGUAACACUAACUGGAGGACCGAACCGACUAAUGUUGAAAAAUUAGCGGAUGACUUGUGGCUGGGGGUGAAAGGCCAAUCAAACCGGGAGAUAGCUGGUUCUCCCCGAAAGCUAUUUAGGUAGCGCCUCGUGAAUUCAUCUCCGGGGGUAGAGCACUGUUUCGGCAAGGGGGUCAUCCCGACUUACCAACCCGAUGCAAACUACGAAUACCGGAGAAUGUUAUCACGGGAGACACACGGCGGGUGCUAACGUCCGUCGUGAAGAGGGAAACAACCCAGACCGCCAGCUAAGGUCCCAAAGUCAUGGUUAAGUGGGAAACGAUGUGGGAAGGCCCAGACAGCCAGGAUGUUGGCUUAGAAGCAGCCAUCAUUUAAAGAAAGCGUAAUAGCUCACUGGUCGAGUCGGCCUGCGCGGAAGAUGUAACGGGGCUAAACCAUGCACCGAAGCUGCGGCAGCGACGCUUAUGCGUUGUUGGGUAGGGGAGCGUUCUGUAAGCCUGCGAAGGUGUGCUGUGAGGCAUGCUGGAGGUAUCAGAAGUGCGAAUGCUGACAUAAGUAACGAUAAAGCGGGUGAAAAGCCCGCUCGCCGGAAGACCAAGGGUUCCUGUCCAACGUUAAUCGGGGCAGGGUGAGUCGACCCCUAAGGCGAGGCCGAAAGGCGUAGUCGAUGGGAAACAGGUUAAUAUUCCUGUACUUGGUGUUACUGCGAAGGGGGGACGGAGAAGGCUAUGUUGGCCGGGCGACGGUUGUCCCGGUUUAAGCGUGUAGGCUGGUUUUCCAGGCAAAUCCGGAAAAUCAAGGCUGAGGCGUGAUGACGAGGCACUACGGUGCUGAAGCAACAAAUGCCCUGCUUCCAGGAAAAGCCUCUAAGCAUCAGGUAACAUCAAAUCGUACCCCAAACCGACACAGGUGGUCAGGUAGAGAAUACCAAGGCGCUUGAGAGAACUCGGGUGAAGGAACUAGGCAAAAUGGUGCCGUAACUUCGGGAGAAGGCACGCUGAUAUGUAGGUGAAGUCCCUCGCGGAUGGAGCUGAAAUCAGUCGAAGAUACCAGCUGGCUGCAACUGUUUAUUAAAAACACAGCACUGUGCAAACACGAAAGUGGACGUAUACGGUGUGACGCCUGCCCGGUGCCGGAAGGUUAAUUGAUGGGGUUAGCGCAAGCGAAGCUCUUGAUCGAAGCCCCGGUAAACGGCGGCCGUAACUAUAACGGUCCUAAGGUAGCGAAAUUCCUUGUCGGGUAAGUUCCGACCUGCACGAAUGGCGUAAUGAUGGCCAGGCUGUCUCCACCCGAGACUCAGUGAAAUUGAACUCGCUGUGAAGAUGCAGUGUACCCGCGGCAAGACGGAAAGACCCCGUGAACCUUUACUAUAGCUUGACACUGAACAUUGAGCCUUGAUGUGUAGGAUAGGUGGGAGGCUUUGAAGUGUGGACGCCAGUCUGCAUGGAGCCGACCUUGAAAUACCACCCUUUAAUGUUUGAUGUUCUAACGUUGACCCGUAAUCCGGGUUGCGGACAGUGUCUGGUGGGUAGUUUGACUGGGGCGGUCUCCUCCUAAAGAGUAACGGAGGAGCACGAAGGUUGGCUAAUCCUGGUCGGACAUCAGGAGGUUAGUGCAAUGGCAUAAGCCAGCUUGACUGCGAGCGUGACGGCGCGAGCAGGUGCGAAAGCAGGUCAUAGUGAUCCGGUGGUUCUGAAUGGAAGGGCCAUCGCUCAACGGAUAAAAGGUACUCCGGGGAUAACAGGCUGAUACCGCCCAAGAGUUCAUAUCGACGGCGGUGUUUGGCACCUCGAUGUCGGCUCAUCACAUCCUGGGGCUGAAGUAGGUCCCAAGGGUAUGGCUGUUCGCCAUUUAAAGUGGUACGCGAGCUGGGUUUAGAACGUCGUGAGACAGUUCGGUCCCUAUCUGCCGUGGGCGCUGGAGAAUUGAGGGGGGCUGCUCCUAGUACGAGAGGACCGGAGUGGACGCAUCACUGGUGUUCGGGUUGUCAUGCCAAUGGCACUGCCCGGUAGCUAAAUGCGGAAGAGAUAAGUGCUGAAAGCAUCUAAGCACGAAACUUGCCCCGAGAUGAGUUCUCCCUGACUCCUUGAGAGUCCUGAAGGAACGUUGAAGACGACGACGUUGAUAGGCCGGGUGUGUAAGCGCAGCGAUGCGUUGAGCUAACCGGUACUAAUGAACCGUGAGGCUUAACCUU
rnacentral:rRNA from 1 species